rnacentral:rRNA from 1 species
UACAGAGGUCCCAAGCGUUGCUCGGAUUCAUUGGGCGUAAAGGGUGCGUAGGCGGCGCGGUAAGUCGGGUGUGAAAUCUCGGAGCUUAACUCCGAAACUGCAUUCGAUACUGCCGUGCUUGAGGACUGGAGAGGAGACUGGAAUUUACGGUGUAGCGGUGAAAUGCGUAGACAUCGUAAGGAAGACCAGUGGCGAAGGCGGGUCUCUGGACAGUUCCUGACGCUGAGGCACGAAGGCCAGGGGAGCAAACGGG